GUAGCUCUAUGCGGUAGAGAUCUGUGCUGAAAGCAUCUAAGCACAAAACUUGCUCCGUGAUGAGUUCUCCCUGACUCCUUGAGAGUCCUGAAGCAACGUUGAAGUCCACUACGCUGCGAGGCCGAGUGUAUGCUCGCACCGAUGCGCUGACCCAACCGCUACUAUUGACCCGUUAUGCGUCACCUUCCGCCGCC
rnacentral:rRNA from 1 species